ensembl:lncRNA
CCCCAACUAAAGCUCCUGGUAUUUGUGCCUGUGCCAGUAGAAAUGGAAGCCAAAAACAGAGAAAGAAAGAGAGCUAAAUGGAGAAGAGAUAUUAAUCCUGAAGUAACUGGGAACAGGUGCUUCAUUUGGGCACUUGGAUGUGAAUGUGCUGCAGUUGGUUGCUCUAUUGACUGGGGAAUUCAAUAACUGAGGCUGGUGCUCUGAUGACAGAGCUCAAAGAAUGAAAACCCAUGUAAAUUAACAGCCAUCCACCAGCCCACGCGUUAUUAAAAACCACAAGUUGUCAAGGCAAGGUCACUGCUCCGGGAGCUUGGGCAAAAGAAUUAAAACCUGAACCUCUUAAAUGUCUUGUGCAGCUCGAGGGGUCUGAGUUGCAACCCUGUGCUUUUCUUCUGCUGACAGGAGGCUGAUGCCUGACCGACUCACUCCUGUGAUGGAAAUGUGUUUGCUGGGCUGUGGCAAGGGAUGGAGGCAAUGUCCAUUCCACUUUCUGCAUCAGGAGGAACGGCCUCGUCCAGGGCCGCCCUGUCUCGCUGCCUGUCCCCCUGCAUUCUCCUGCCCUCACCCCAGCUCCGGUUAGCUGCAUUCAGGCUCAGAUCACUGAGACAUCCUGGGUAAUUUGCAGGUCAAAUUAUCCGCAGAGGAAAAGCUAUCAUGUGGCCGAGGCUGAAGGUUACGUAUGCAAGUUGAAUCUGGGAACUGGGAAUUGGUGGUGUCUGCCUGCAUUUUGGAGAGAACUCUGGGGUGACCAGUGGCUCCCAGUCCAACCCAGUCCAAUCCAACCCAAUCCGAUGGGAGAACAAGACCAAAGGAAAGAGGCCACGGAGCUGCUAAAGGACACAAAACCAGCACAGGACACCCUGCAGCAGCCAUCCAACCCUUGCAGCACCCUAUCUGCCAGCCAGGCUCCCCCAUUCCACACACAGUGCUCUUAGGCAAUGUGCUGAGCAAGCAAAGACUGGGAUUUCCUUGUCCUACAAGGCAGAAUGUUCAGUGAAACUGAUGAAGACAUGGAGAUUCAGCUUUAAGAAAUAAGAAGGUUAGACCAUCUUAAUUUUCUCCAAGGGCUCUAUAACCUCAAAUUGAAGUGUGGCUUUAUUAGCAAAGGUCACGGAAGAGAAAAAAAAAACCUAGGAGAGAAAAGGGUUUGCAAUUAGGAGCAAGUAACUGGAAUAAUUCUUCAAUUUCCAUGGAUGAUGAAAUGAAUCUGUCCUGGCAGAGCUAGCGUGAAGAGAGGAUGUGUUGUUGUAUGAGUUUGUGAAAUGUUUCUAUUAUCCACAAGGAGAG